AUUGAACGCUGGCGGCAGGCCUAACACAUGCAAGUCGAGCGGAUGAAGGGAGCUUGCUCCUGGAUUCAGCGGCGGACGGGUGGGUAAUGCCUAGGAAUCUGCCUGGUAGUGGGGGAUAACGUCCGGAAACGGGCGCUAAUACCGCAUACGUCCUGAGGGAGAAAGUGGGGGAUCUUCGGACCUCACGCUAUCAGAUGAGCCUAGGUCGGAUUAGCUAGUUGGUGGGGUAAAGGCCUACCAAGGCGACGAUCCGUAACUGGUCUGAGAGGAUGAUCAGUCACACUGGAACUGAGACACGGUCCAGACUCCUACGGGAGGCAGCAGUGGGGAAUAUUGGACAAUGGGCGAAAGCCUGAUCCAGCCAUGCCGCGUGUGUGAAGAAGGUCUUCGGAUUGUAAAGCACCUUAAGUUGGGAGGAAGGGCAGUAAGUUAAUACCUUGCUGUUUUGACGUUACCAACAGAAUAAGCACCGGCUAACUUCGUG
rnacentral:rRNA from 1 species